rnacentral:lncRNA from 1 species
UUCAGUCAGCAUGACUGGAACUUUGAUCAACAAAUCCCCAAGAGCCACAACCCAUCUUUUGUGAACAAGUAGUAUCAAGAUUAGCUGCCACAAAGAUUAUCCCCCAUCUGGGCACAAGGAGGACCCACACCACAGCUUGGGAACCAUUCAUCUACCAGAGGGUCACAUGACUUCAAAUGACUCUUCUAGGGGCCACCUGCCAUGAUAGGGUACCAGCUCUUCCUCUGAAUUCCCAAUCCAUUUCUUGAGAACUACUGUUUCUAAUAAGGUUUUUGUUCCAUGUGAGAUACCCACGCCACUUUAAAAAACAAACUAUCCUGACAUCUAAUUACUUUGUGAAUGAUUGUAAUGGCAAUAACAAUAGAGAUGGAAGAAUUUUUGAAACAAUACUAGUUUCACAGCUUUCACGUAAGAUGCCAAGGUUUUAGCAUCGUCAGAUUGGCAAUGAGAUUGGAUAACUUCUGGGAUCUUUUUGAAAUUAUAUCUUUCUUUUCUCUAGGAUCCUACUUCUGGAAAAUAAGAUUAAUACUAAUACUAAUAAGACACAAAGAUUUUUAAUGGAAAUAGGAAUAUCUUCAAAGGCUGGAUGGACAUUGCGUGCACUGUAUGACAACAUUCGUGUAUAAUAAGAUCCUUUCCUUAGAGAAUGGGGCAAAUCCAGAUGGAAUGUGAGAAAGACUUCAAGGUUUCAGUGGAAUAUGCUUAUAUUGGGAAUUGUAUUAGUUAAGACUAGGUUUGGCUGCGCAUGACAGAAAACCCAACAUAGUCA